AGCGAACGCUGGCGGCAGGCCUAACACAUGCAAGUCGAACGAACUCUUCGGAGUUAGUGGCGGACGGGUGAGUAACACGUGGGAACGUGCCCUUAGGUUCGGAAUAACUCAGGGAAACUUGUGCUAAUACCGAAUGUGCCCUUCGGGGGAAAGAUUUAUCGCCUUUAGAGCGGCCCGCGUCUGAUUAGCUAGUUGGUGAUGUAAAGGCUAACCAAGGCGACGAUCAGUAGCUGGUCUGAGAGGAUGAUCAGCCACAUUGGGACUGAGACACGGCCCAAACUCCUACGGGAGGCAGCAGUGGGGAAUCUUGCGCAAUGGGCGAAAGCCUGACGCAGCCAUGCCGCGUGAAUGAUGAAGGUCUUAGGAUUGUAAAAUUCUUUCACCGGGGACGAUAAUGACGGUACCCGGAGAAGAAGCCCCGGCUAACUUCGUGCCAGCCGCCGCCGUAA
rnacentral:rRNA from 1 species